GACGAACGCUGGCGGCGUGCUUAACACAUGCAAGUCGAACGAUGAAGCCGGAGCUUGCUCUGGUGAAUUAGUGGCGAACGGGUGAGUAACACGUGAGUAACCUGCCCUUGACUCUGGGAUAACUGCUAGAAAUGGUAGCUAAUACCGGAUACGACCCUCGGAGGCAUCUCCAGGGGGUGGAAAGAAUUUCGGUCAAGGAUGGACUCGCGGCCUAUCAGCUAGUUGGUGAGGUAACGGCUCACCAAGGCGACGACGGGUAGCCGGCCUGAGAGGGUGACCGGCCACAAUGGGACUGCGACACGGCCCAGACUCCUAGGGGAGGCAGCAGUGGGGAAUAUUGCACAAUGGGCGCAAGCCUGAUGCAGCAACGCCGCGUGAGGGAUGACGGCCUUCGGGUUGUAAACCUCUUUUAGUAGGGAAGAAGCGAAAGUGACGGUACCUGCAGAAAAAGCACCGGCUAACUACGUGCCAGCCGCCGCAGUAA
rnacentral:rRNA from 1 species